rnacentral:snoRNA from 1 species
ACCCUCUCAGGGUCGCACCUGGAGGGUACCAGUCUCGACUAUGGGAGGGAGAGUCAAGCAGAGCCCUACCCAUUCCAUUCCUAGCUUGGCCAGUGGCUAGUGAAUGGAAGGCAAUCUGCUACAAGU